UAAGCAGAACGGGCGAUUCGGGAUGAACCGGAAGCGGGGGAGAAAGGGCCCGAGAUUGCGUCGACGCGGAUCCCGAAAAGGGCGUCGAUCCGUCGCGACAGCGGGACGGUGGUCAUGGAAGUCGAAAUCCGCUAAGAAGCGUGUAAAAACGUACCCGCCCAACGGAUCGGCCCCGAAAAUUGAUGGCGCUCGAACGCAACCCUCGAACCCCCGCCGACGGAGGCUAGGUGAGGCCCCGUCGAGUAGGCGGACGCGCGGGUCGCUUCGACGCUCUCGCGCGAGCGGGGGCGGAGCGGCCCGUGGUGCAGAUCUUGGUGGUAGUAGCGAUCACCCAGGCGAGAACCCCUGAGGGCCGAAGUGGAGAAGGGGUUUCUCGAGAACGGCACUCGCUCGAGAGUUAGUCGAUCCUAAGCUGCCGGCGGCAGCCACGAAACGGUCGAUCGGGCGCGAGCCCGGCAGCCACGACCGGGCAGCGAAAGGGAAUUGGGAACCU
rnacentral:rRNA from 1 species